GAGUUCCAUGACGCAGCCUGACGCAGCAUGCCGCGUGAAUGAGAAGGCCUUCGGGUUGUAAAGUUCUUUCGUGGGAGACGAAAAGGUGAUCGCUAAUACCGGUUGCUGUUGACGUGAACCCAAGAAGAAGCACCGGCUAACUCCGUGCCAGCAGCCGCGGUAAUAA
rnacentral:rRNA from 1 species